rnacentral:rRNA from 1 species
ACCCGCUGAACUUAAGCAUAUCAAUAAGCGGAGGAGCAUAUCAAUAAGCGGAGGAA